rnacentral:rRNA from 1 species
UACGUAGGUGACCAGCGUUGUCCGGAUUUACUGGGCGUAAAGAGCGCGCAGGCGGUCGUUCAAGUCGAGUGUGAAAGCCCCCGGCUCAACUGGGGAGGGUCAUUCGAUACUGAUCGACUUGAAGGCAGGAGAGGGAAGUGGAAUUCCCGGUGUAGUGGUGAAAUGCGUAGAUAUCGGGAGGAACACCAGUGGCGAAGGCGACUGCCUGGCCUGUUCUUGACGCUGAGGCGCGAAAGCUAGGGGAGCAAACGGG